UGAGAGGGUGAUCGCCCACACUGGGACUGAGACACGGCCCAGAUUCCUACGGGAGGCAGCAGUAGGGAAUCAUCCGCAAUGGACGAAAGUCUGACGGUGCAACGCCGCGUGAGUGAGGAAGGCCUUCGGGUCGUAAAACUCUGUUGUUAGGGAAGAACAAGUUCCGUUCGAAUAGGGCGGAGCCUUGACGGUACCUAACCAGAAAGCCACGGCUAACUACGUGCCAGCAGCCGCGGUAAUACGUAGGUGGCAAGCGUUGUCCGGAAUUAUUGGGCGUAAAGCGCGCGCAGGCGGUUCCUUAAGUCUGAUGUGAAAGCCCACGGCUCAACCGUGGAGGGUCAUUGGAAACUGGGGAACUUGAAGACAGAAGAGGAGAGCGGAAUUCCACGGGUAGCGGUGAAAUGCGUAGAUAUGUGGAGGAACACCAGUGGCGAAGGCGGCUCUCUGGUCUGUGCUUGACGCUGAGGCGCGAAAGCGUGGGGAGCGAACAGGAUUAGAUACCCUGGUAGUCCACGCCGUAAACGAUGAGUGCUAGGUGUUAGGGGUUUCCACCCUUAGUGCUGCAGUUAACGCAAUAAGCACUCCGCCUGGGGAGUACGGCCGCAAGGCUGAAACUCAAAGGAAUUGACGGGGGCCCGCACAAGCGGUGGAGCAUGUGGUUUAAUUCGAAGCAACGCGAAGAACCUUACCAGGUCUUGACAUCCUCGGACCACCCUAGAGAUAGGGUCUUCCCUUCGGGGACCGAGUGACAGGUGGUGCAUGGUUGUCGUCAGCUCGUGUCGUGAGAUGUUGGGUUAAGUCCCGCAACGAGCGCAACCCUUGAUCUUAGUUGCCAGCAUUCAGUUGGGCACUCUAAGGUGACUGCCGGUGACAAACCGGAGGAAGGUGGGGAUGACGUCAAAUCAUCAUGCCCCUUAUGACCUGGGCAACACACGUGCUACAAUGGAUGGUACAAUGGGCCGCGAAGCCGCGAGGUGAAGCAAAUCCCAAAAAGCCAUUCUCAGUUCGGAUUGUAGGCUGCAACUCGCCUACAUGAA
rnacentral:rRNA from 1 species